rnacentral:lncRNA from 1 species
UAGAGUGUAUUCGCAGGCCUUUCACUUAGGAGGUCAAGGGUUUUUCCUCUCAGCUCACUGCAACAUGGACCAACAGAGCUCAUUCCACUGUUUCGGGCUGUUCCUAGGAAUGCAGGAGAAAGGGUCAGUAAGUUUCGGAGUGGACUAUGAAUUCUCGGCGAGGUCAAAGCCCGCGGAAGAUUUCAUAAGCAAAUACAAAGGAAACUACACAUUCACAGGAGGGAAAGCAGUUGGUUACAGAAACUUGUUUGGGAUUGCGUGGACGUCUUUUAUUGCAGAGGAUAGUCAAUACUUCAUCAAUGGCAUCCUCCAUCUGAGGGCAGAGCUUACCAUCAA